rnacentral:lncRNA from 1 species
AUGAGGGGGGGAGCAUCGGUCUGGAAGGUGCCGCUCCACAGCGGGGUGACUCUGAUCCCCGACAGUGGUCCCGGCCUGGGACCGGAGCAGGGCAGAGGAGGGAGGUGUCGCCUGGUUGGGGUGGGGGGGGCAGGGGGAGCGGUGCCCAGUCCCCUCCCCGCUCAAGCCCUCGGCUGGACACACAGCACCGGGGCCAGCCCGGAUGGGCUCGGGCACCCAUGGCCGCGCUGGGGUAGGAGAGGGACGGCUGAAGCUGCCAGUGGUUCCUCCAGGUCUGGAUUCCUCAUCUGGGUAUUCAAGGCCCUUUGCCCUGUCUCCUCCAGGAAGCCCUCUCGGAUCGCUGCCCAGCUCACAUUGGGUCUUCCAUUUGGGCCUCUGUGGCUCCUGGAAGAGGGUGCAAACCUAGUGCCUGGAGGGGACAGGCAGGUAAUGAGUGGGGCAGGCUGGGCGAGAUCCAGCAGCGAAGGCGAGAGGCCCGCAGCGGGAAGGCACAGCCUGGGAGCCCGCCAGGGUGCUUUCAUGCUCGGCUCUGGGUAGCCGGAGCUCCAAGGCCGGAGCGGUCAUCCACCAACCAGCGGGGAGCUCCCGAAGGGCUGGUGUCCCUGCUGACGCCAGUGUGGGCUGGACACCUGUGCGGGCUUCCUGUCCAGCAUUGGAGGCCCCGGGGCCCCGGGACCCAGGGAAUAACAUGGGGCAACCUUCCCGCUUGGAGCUAGGGAAACUGAGGCCCAGAUGCGGGUGGUGAGGAGGAGCCCCUGUUCUGUUCCGCGCAGACUGUACAUCCAUGCAGGCAUAACCCUCACAACAGGGGCAGGAGGGCGGGUUUUUGUACCUCGUCUUAUUUAUUUUUAUUUAUUUAUUUUUAUAAGAUUUUAUUAAUUCAUGAGAGACACACAGAGAGAGAGAGAGACACAGGCAGAGGGAGAAGCAGGCUCCGUGCAGGGAGCCUGAUGCAGAACUUGAUCCCGGGACCCCGGGGUCACGCCCUGAGCCGAAGGCAGGUGCCCACCCGCUGGGCCACCCGGGUGCACCCGUACCUCGUUUUAGAGAGGAGGAAACAGGCUGGGGGGGGGGCACUUUACGCCUGCGUUUGAAUCGGUUGGGGCCCCAGUGCCAGCUGCUUCUUUCUGGCAGGAUCAUGGGGGUGCUGAGGUGUGCACUGAGUUCCCUGAGGGGGCCGGGGUGCAUUUAUGCCCAGAGUGAGCCCAGCUGGAGGCAGGAAGCCUGGGAUCCUGGCCCACAUGUGCCACCAACUCCCUCGAGCUUGGGUGACCUUGGACUGGCUGCCAGCCCUGCUCAGUAUUUCCAGGCUGGUCUCUGGGCUCCUUCGGCUCCAGGCCAGGCCCAUGAUGAAGCCCUGUCCUUUUUGGGGUCACUGUCACGUGGGAGAUGGUGACUGGGACAUCCCAGAAGGGCCCCAGUUAGUCGUAUGGGGCAAUCAGGGAAGCCUGUUCCCCACCCAAGGAGGGGAGAGGACAGGCCACCACCAGGGGGGAGGGCUGCAGGACUGUGCACUCAGCUCUGUGGUCCGGAGCCUCCCCCCACCCCAGCAUGACCUUGGCACUUCCGAAAACACUCGCAGAGUGAACGGGCAAGGAUGCCCUGUAUAGCCUGGGCUGUAAGAUGGGGGAAGCCAGGCCCGGUGAGUCCAGGGAGCCUCGGGGUUGCCAUUCGCUCCCUGGGGCCUCGCUGGUCCAGCCCCUGCUCACACCCUCACCCUUCCGUGAGGAGCUCACCCCCUCCCAGGGCAGCCCUGCCCUCUCUGCCCCAAGGAGGUUUUUCCCUCCCCACCACUUGCAUGCAUUCACAUCUAGUGCAGUUUCAAGGCUCACAGACUCCCAAGUCCCCUCUCCCUGGGGACCCCAGUUAGAAACUUCCGCUUUAAUCAUUCCCCAUGUGACUUGGAUAAUGUCAUCCUUCAUGCUGACCUAGGACAGGAAGCUAGGCAGUCCCCAGGCCAUGCUUGCCCACUCGUUCUCUCCACACACGUUAGCCCGACGCCUUGUCUGUGCCAGGCCUAGGCUGGGCUCCGGGUGCAGAAGAGAGCAAGACCUGCCCCGGGGGCCCUGGGAAGUCACGUCCGUCAGCACUGACAGCUUGGCGGGGGGUGGUCAGGGCAGGACAGAGGUGCCCGCACCCCAGCCUGUUGGGCGAGGCCGCUUGGAGGACCCUGGGGAAUGGUCAGGGAGGGGAGGCAGCCCUGCAAAGGAAGCAACGAGCGCAAAGGCUUGGAGGCCUGUGUCUGCUGGGGAAGGGGAGCCCGGGAGGCACUGGGUCCGGCGUGAGGCUGAGGGCCGGCUGCGGAUGGGUCUCUGCUUUUUGCAACUGCUUCCGGCCUGUGUGCAGCUCUGCUGACUGCUCGUGUGCCCUAAUACACACACACACACACACACACACACACACAAUCCCACUGACUCUAAAUGCAGACACGACUGCACGCACGCCCCCCCCAGCUCAUCUCCACAGACCUUGGACUGGCUGCCAGUGAGCACUGCACACCCGCACACAGCAGGCCCCUCUGCCUGCAGCCGCGGGCUCACCCAUCCUUUUUCUUUGUACAGUGAACCCUGUAAGAGCCUGGGGCUGAGCCUCAAAGACUCCGUCCCUGGAGUUUUGUGCAAAGACCCUUAGGUGUCACCCUCCCCCCCGGGCUUCCCCUGAGCCUCGGCCUAGGCUCCCAGGGCACCCAGGGAAACCUCCCGUGCCAGCCCCGGAGGGCCACAGCCCUGCUGAGAAGCCAGGCGCCCUGGCAUUCGCCCCAGACAGUCUGGAUUGCCUGUGUGACCUUGGCUAACCUUCUGCUUUGUCAGCCUUGGAUUGGGGGGUGGGGGUACGGGCUCCUCGUUUCCAGCCUCCGUUCCCAGCCUGGUCCAAGAGCCCCGGCGUCCAGGAGGGUACCUGGGGGCUCCGGAGGCAGAGGUGGAGCUGGAUGGGCCCCUUCCCUUUCAGCCGCAGCAGCAGGACUGCUUAGAUCUGCAUUUUAUAUUAAGGGUCAGGCAGGAUUUGAAGGAAAAACCCAUUAACUCUUUAUUGAUUUUGUUUUCCUGAUUACAAAAGAAAAUCCAACAACACGUUUGUGGAUAAGAGCCCGUGAAAGCUCCUCCUCCUCCUCCUGGGAGGUGUUCCCUGUAACAUCUGGGUGUUGUCCUCCAGCCUUUUGGGGCAUAUACCAACAAAUGGCUUUUAUAAAAAUGGGCUCGUUCUGAAAUAGCAUCGUACAGCUUGAUUUUUUUUGUAUUGUUAUAUAUAGAUCUGCCUCUCUCUGUCGACGGGCGGCGGAGUAUUCCCGAGCAUAGAUGUGCUGUAUUUUUAUUUUAUUUUAUUUUUUAUUUUUUUAUUUUUUAGAUGUGCUGUAUUUUAGAUGAACAUUCCCUUACUGGUGAGCACUGAGGUCACUUCCAAUUUCUUUUUUCCUCUUACCAGCGAUACCGCUGUAAGCAUCCUUGACUAUUUAUACGUGACUGUCUCUGCUAUAGUUUCUGUAGGAGAAGCUCCUAGAAGUGGGAUAACUAGUUUGUAGAGCGUGUGGGUUUAAAGCGUUAUCCGAUAGUGCCAAAUUACCCUCCCAAAGGUUGAGCCAAUUCCCCCCUCCCUCUGAUGGUCUGUGAGCGCUCACUUCCCUGCAUCCUUGCCAGCACUGGUUGUUAUCAAUCAUUUUAAUUUUUCCCAAUCUAAUGGGCAAAAAAUGGUAUCGCGUCGCUUUCAUCUGCGUUUCCCUGAUUGCUAGUGAGAUAGAACAUCUUUUCAUACAUUUAUUGGCCAAUUGAGUUCUUCCUCUGUGAAUUUCUAAUUCACUGCCAAUUUUCUCUUCUUUUGUCUUUUUUUUUUUCUUAUUGAUUUGUAGCGGCUCUUUGUAUAUUAGUGAUGUUUCCUUCCAGUGUCUCGCUUGCCUUUUAACUUGCGCGUAGUGUCUUUUGCUCUACAGAUGUCUUAGGUGUUUAUGGACUCGGAUUUAUCAAAUUUUCACUUUAUGGCUUCUGGAUUUAAGGUCUGGCAUAGAAAGGCUUCCUCCACUGCAUAAGAUUUCAUUUCGAAUAAGGAUUUUUAUUGCUGAAAAAUCUUUGCAGAGCUCUGCUUUGCGGCUGCAGUACUGGUUCUGGGGAGGAAGGGAUGGUCCGUCCGUCCGUCCUUUUCUAUCACUGCCUUUCCGUCGGUCUGUCUGGCUUUGGGGUCGUGGUCACGCGGUGUCUCUUCAGGCCUCUGUCUCUCAUGUGCUCUCCUCCUCCUUUCUGCUUUUCUAUCCCCAGGUGGGUUCCGCAUUGCACAGCGGGGGUGGCGGGACAGCCCUGGCGUCCUCAGUGGGUUGAGAAGCCGCAGGGAAUGUGCCCAGCCCCCCUAGCCUCACCCUGAGUCUUGGGGGCUGGUGAGGCAGGCCCUGGCCCAGUUCUCCCUUUCAGGGCCGCUCACGUCCUGCCGCUCUUGGUCCUCACUGGUGCCUUCUCGGGGCUGAGCAACCUGGGGCCACCCCUCACGAUCUUGGCUUCCCUCUGGGUAAAAUAGGUCCUGGGAGUCUGCACCAGCUCCCGAGAGACGCGGCCGGUGUGGGAUGCAGCCGAGCUCUGGAACGUGUCCCCUCGUGCCCUCUUGCUACCAGCCCACCUCCAAGGAACCCAGACACCACAGGAGGGAAUCUUUGUGUCGUGGACAUGGAUGGGGACUUCGUUCACGAGGGUGAUGACCGAUGGCCCGGGCUCACUUGCUUUCGGCCCUGUGCAGGGCCCCAGCCCAGUGCAAGGUCUGGCUCGAGGGAGGCUCCCAGGAAAGCAGGAACAA